AUUGAACGCUGGCGGCAGGCCUAACACAUGCAAGUCGAGCGGAUGAGUGGGGCUUGCUCCAUGAUUCAGCGGCGGACGGGUGAGUAGUGCCUAGGAAUCUGCCUGGUAGUGGGGGACAACGUGUCGAAAGGAACGCUAAUACCGCAUACGUCCUACGGGAGAAAGGGGGGGAUCUUCGGACCUUACGCUAGCAGAUGAGCCUAGGUCGGAUUAGCUAGUUGGUGAGGUAAAGGCUCACCAAGGCGACGAUCCGUAACUGGUCUGAGAGGAUGAUCAGUCACACUGGAAUUGAGACACGGUCCAGACUCCUACGGGAGGCAGCAGUGGGGAAUAUUGGACAAUGGGCGAAAGCCUGAUCCAGCCAUGCCGCGUGUGUGAAGAAGGUCUUCGGAUUGUAAAGCACUUUAAGUUGGGAGGAAGGGCAGUAAGUUAAUACCUUGCUGUUUUGACGUUACCAACAGAAUAAGCACCGGCUAACUUCGUGCCAGCAGCCGCUGUAAAAC
rnacentral:rRNA from 1 species